rnacentral:rRNA from 1 species
AGCUUAAUGGUAUUUAAUAUUAAGUGGUUUCUGCUCAAUGAUUUAAUUAAAUAGCCGCAGUACUUUGACUGUGCGAAGGUAGCAUAAUAAAUUGGCUUAUAAUUGAAGUCGGGAAUGAAUGAAUUAAUGAAUAUAAGCUGUCUUAUAUAAGUACUAAUUAAUUUUCUUAGUAAGUGAAAAUUCUUACAAUAUGUUUUAUUAGACGAGAAGACCCUUGAAAUUUUAAUAAAAUAAUAUGUUAUUUAUUAGUAAUUUUUGUUGGGGCGAUAGAUUUACAAUACAACUGAAUUUAUUUAAAUGUAAGAAUAAUAAUUCAAAUUUUAUUAAUAAAAAAUAAAUUACUCAAGGGAUAACAGCAUAAUUUAUAAAUAAGUUUGUGACCUCGAUGUUGGACUAGGGAAUUUUAAGUUUAGAAGAUUUAAAAUUAAGUUCUGUUCGAACUUUAAUUCCUACAUG